rnacentral:rRNA from 1 species
UACGGAGGGUGCAAGCGUUGUUCGGAUUUAUUGGGCGUAAAGCGCGCGCAGGCGGAAAAUCAAGUCAGAUGUGAAAUCUCGGGGCUCAACCCCGAAACUGCGUCUGAAACUAAUUUUCUAGAGUAUCGGAGAGGAAAGCGGAAUUUCGCAUGUAGGGGUAAAAUCCGUAGAGAUGCGAAGGAACACCAGAGGCGAAGGCGGCUUUCUGGACGAUUACUGACGCUGAGGCGCGAAAGCGUGGGGAGCAAACAGG